rnacentral:rRNA from 1 species
UACAGAGGUGGCAAGCGUUGUUCGGAAUUACUGGGCGUAAAGGGCGCGUAGGCGGCCUUCUAAGUCGGACGUGAAAGCCCCAGGCUUAACCUGGGAACUGCGUCCGAUACUGGGAGGCUUGGAUUCGGGAGAGGGAUGUGGAAUUCCAGGUGUAGCGGUGAAAUGCGUAGAUAUCUGGAGGAACACCGGUGGCGAAGGCGGCAUCCUGGACCGAGAUCGACGCUGAGGCGCGAAAAGCUAGGGGAGCAAACGGGG